UUUAAGUUCAGCCUUUAAUUUUAUUUAUUUCAAUUUUCUUUUUCAGGAAAUAUAACCAAGAAGAGUUCUGAGAGAAUACCCUCAUUUGUCCUCUUGGGAUUAAACAAGACUACUGUAUUUUAACU
rnacentral:lncRNA from 1 species